rnacentral:rRNA from 1 species
GAUGAACGCUGGCUACAGGCUUAACACAUGCAAGUCGAGGGGAAACGACGGGGAAGCUUGCUUCCCCGGGCGUCGACCGGCGCACGGGUGAGUAACGCGUAUCCAACCUGCCUCUGACUGAGGGAUAACCCGUCGAAAGUCGGCCUAAUACCUCAUGGCAUCGUCUGCGGGCAUCCAACGACGAUUAAAGAUUUCAUCGGUCAGGGAUGGGGAUGCGUCUGAUUAGCUUGUUGGCGGGGUAACGGCCCACCAAGGCUACGAUCAGUAGGGGUUCUGAGAGGAAGGUCCCCCACAUUGGAACUGAGACACGGUCCAAACUCCUACGGGAGGCAGCAGUGAGGAAUAUUGGUCAAUGGGCGGGAGCCUGAACCAGCCAAGUAGCGUGCAGGAUGACGGCCCUAUGGGUUGUAAACUGCUUUUAUGCGGGGAUAAAGUGAGGGACGUGUCCUUCAUUGCAGGUACCGCAUGAAUAAGGACCGGCUAAGUCCGUG